CAUUCACCUGCCCCCAGAACAUGGGACCUGCUGCCUCACAAGGAGACCCUGACCCCCUAGUCAGUGACGUCUGCUCCCUCCUCUGUGCCCCUUGUUCUUGCCCCAAACCCCUCAGGGAGAGGGUCCCCUGCAGGGCUGAGGAGACAGAAGAGCAGAAGCACCUGCAGUUUCCGUUGGAAGGACCAGAUGACUGAAAACCCACAACCGUCACCGUCCCAGCUGAGCCGCCCUCACUGUGGCCUGGUCACUGCAACACCCUCCUUCCGGCUUCUGCUCAAGUCCCUGCUGUGGCUCCUGUCUCCCUGAGACCACCACAGGCUUCCUGUCACCUGCUUUGCCCAUCUGGUCUGGCUCCUUCCAGAUAUUCCUCCCGGUUUAUCCGCACAUGAAUGUGGGACCACCCACUCCACCAGCGGCUGCCUUGCCUACCCCGGUCUUCCACGACCACUUUGCUGAGAGUCCUCUCCACCCAGCUGCCCCUUCCGCCUCUCCUACCCGUCUGGAUGGAUGUUUCUUCUUUAACUCCUUAGUUGUUGGACUUCCAUACAGUUCGAUUUUCUGUAAGUUCUGAUGUUUUUUGUUUUUAAAUUGUUGUCGUCCUUCUUUUGGUUGUGGGAGCAGGCACAGUAUGUCUACCUACACCUCGAUCUUGACCGGAAGUUCAAACUCUGUUGUCACCUUUUCAAUGAAGCCUUCCCUCACCUUUCCAGUUCCAUCACAGCUCCCCUGCCUCUAGCCUCCAGUCACUCUCCCUUGAUUAAUUUUUCUACACUACUCAUUAUCAUCUGACCUAAUAGUUUAAUUAAUUAUGUUACUUGUGGCUUCAGUUAAGUGUUUUAUAGAUUACUUUCUAUUUCUCUACAAUGUGAGCCCCAUAAGGGAAGGGGUGUUCAUGCAUUUGUUCCCUGAUUUAUCUCCUGUUUCUAGAACUGAC